UUGAAAUGUAUAUUUAUCCAUAUAUUAAUUUUUUUAUAAAGUGCACUAUUCUGAAUAAUUAUUAAUUAAUGUAACAUUUUCAUGAGCUAUCUUUGUUUGCACUUGUUAGGUCUAGUUGUAUAAUGAUUUGUUUAUUCAAAAACCAUCAAUAAACAAAAUAGGUACAUGUUAUCUUCAAAUCGAGUAAAUAUCCGAUGGAUAUCCAAAUUCGAGAAAUUCUUUUUGUAUUUGUAUUCGAGAACAUC
rnacentral:lncRNA from 1 species